GGGUUGUGAGGUUAAGCGACUAAGCGUACACGGUGGAUGCCCUGGCAGUCAGAGGCGAUGAAGGACGUGCUAAUCUGCGAAAAGCGUCGGUAAGGUGAUAUGAACCGUUACAGCCGGCGAUGUCCGAAUGGGGAAACCCAGUGCAAUUCGUUGCACUAUCGUUAACUGAAUACAUAGGUUAACGAGGCGAACCGGGGGAACUGAAACAUCUAAGUACCCCGAGGAAAAGAAAU
rnacentral:rRNA from 1 species